AUAGAUAUAUAGGUAGAUAGAUAGAUAGAUAGAUAGAUAGAUAGAUAGAUAGAUAGAUAGAUAGAUAGACUUUUAUCCUGUAGUUGAGGAGUGCCAGCCUUGAAAUCAAGCAACUUAGCUUUAAUUCUCCUCAGCUAAAAGCCAAUCACUUGCUUCCUCUGGUCUUCAUUUUACCCUUCACAUAGUGGGGCUGAUGUCCAGUAUUUUGUUGGGUGU